CGGAAACCAUUCGCAGAGUGCAAAGGCAGAAGGGAGCUUGACUGCGACACCGACGGGUGGAGCAGGUACGAAAGUAGGGCUUAGUGAUCCGGUGGUAUUAAGUGGGAAUGCCAUCGCUCAACGGAUAAAAGCUACCCUGGGGAUAACAGGCUUAUCACUCCCAAGAGUUCACAUCGACGGAGUGGUUUGGCACCUCGAUGUCGGCUCAUCGCAUCCUGGGGCUGUAGUAGGUCCCAAGGGUUGGGCUGUUCGCCCAUUAAAGCGGUACGCGAGCUGGGUUCAGAACGUCGUGAGACAGUUCGGUCCCUAUCCGGCGUGGGCGUAGGAGAUCUGAGAGGAGCUGUCCUUAGUACGAGAGGACCGGGAUGGACGGACCGCUGGUGUACCGGUUAGACUGCCAAGUCUACGGCCGGGUAGCCAAGUCCGGAAGGGAUAAACGCUGAAGGCAUCUAAGCGUGAAGCCC
rnacentral:rRNA from 1 species